rnacentral:rRNA from 1 species
CACGUAGGGCGCAAGCGUUUGUCCGGAAUUAUUGGGCGUAAAGAGCUCGUAGGUGGUUUGUUACGUCUGCUGUGAAAUCCUAGGGCUUAACCCUGGGCUUGCAGUGGAUACGGGCAGACUAGAGGUAUUCAGGGGAGAACGGAAUUCCUGGUGUAGCGGUGAAAUGCGCAGAUAUCAGGAGGAACACCGGUGGCGAAGGCGGUUCUCUGGGAAUGACCUGACGCUGAGGAGCGAAAGUGUGGGGAGCGAACAGG